AGCAGCGUGGCUUAGUGGAAAGAGCAUGGGCUUGAGAUUCAGAGGACAUGGGUUCUAAUCCCAUCUCGGCUA
rnacentral:tRNA from 1 species